GAAUGCUUAGUUUUCCUUUAAUUAUGACAGCUUUGUUUGGAAUACUAUUCUGGGUUGGCAGUUGUUGCCUUUCAGAACUUGGAAUACAUCAUUCUGAGCCCUCUGAUUAGACGGUUUCAUUGGAGUAAUCUGUUAUAUUCUGUGCCUCUCCCUGGUGACUAAGCAUCCAGACCUGUGAGCCUGUGCGGGCCAUACUCACUGAAACCACCACAGGAGCCACGUUUAAGUACGGAGAGACCUGCUGGCACAGCUGGCUCUCAGGAAGUCAUCCAGUAUUCUAACUGAGCUGUCAUCCCUACUGUCAGAUGGUGAAAGCCACCUGUCAUUCGGCAUCCCAUCAAGUUAAACCCUGGGCAAGGCACCACAGAUUCCUUAUGAUGGCCCUGAGCUUUGGGAGUCUCCUGAUGGACAAACACAGUGGCAAGCCUCGGCAGAGGGACAAGGCGGACGUCUGAGAGCUGAGGACAGACCCUAGAGAAGAAACCACUCCCACUGACACCAUGACUGAACUUCCUGUCACUGUAAGGAAGCUAUUUUUAGCCACAUA